GGACUACACGGGUUUCUAAUCCUGUUUGAUCCCCACGCUUUCGUGCCUCAGUGUCAAUAACCGUGUAACGAGCUGCCUUCGCAAUCGGUGUUCUAUGUCAUAUCUAAGCAUUUCACCGCUACAUGACAUAUUCCGCUCAUCUCCACGAUAUUCAAGGCAGAUAGUAUCAACGGCAGUUUCCGGGUUAAGCCCGGAGAUUUCACCACUGACUUACCUGCCCACCUACGCACCCUUUAAACCCAGUGAAUCCGGAUAACGCUUGCACCCUCCGUAUUACCGCGGCUGCUGGCAC
rnacentral:rRNA from 1 species